UUAACAUUAUUAAGCUGUUGUAUAAAAGAGUUUUGUAUUAUCAUCGCACAGCAGUCACUCAUCACAUUUUGAUUAAACAAUAUACGAAAACAUAGUCAGUGAACAAAAUCUUUUAAGUACAAAAUGGUCUGUCAGCAGUGUAUUAACGCUUCGAAAUGUAACAUUUGCAAAACCUGCGUCAAAUGUUGCCAGAUCUACACGCCGAGUGGCAACCGUUGCUGUACUGUUGGCAUCAGGAAGACAUGUUGCGCUAGCAAAAAGUGAAUGAUAUCCUUUCAAAUUGAGCUCAAUUAAGUUAUAUGCCAAAUUUCGGAAUAUUUAUGUUAAGAGUUAGCUCAAGCUUAAAAAUAAACGUAUUGUAUAUUGUAUUUAUUUAUUAAAAACAUGUGUUUUCUAUGAUAUCAUAAAGAUUA